rnacentral:tRNA from 1 species
CGUGGCCUUGUGGUUAAGGCACCAGGCUGAAGACCUGGUGUGCACAGGUUCGAGCCC